CACAGGAAUGCCUGUCAUUCCAGAGCGCACACUGUGAAGAGCUCAAGUGCAGGAAGGGGAGGGGACCUGCCAACUACAGGAGCGGCACAGCCCUAAACAGCCACACCUACUUUUCCUGACCCGGAGCUUGGCGGCAGCUCUCCAGACUCCCCGCCACAGAAGAAUGGGAGCCUGCUCGGGAGCCUACCGAAGAACUUGCAAACGUGAUCAUACAGAAAACAUCAGGGUUAUGCACAGCAGGCUGAUGGGCGUAGAAUUCAACUCGAAGGUACCUAUGGAACUGGAUGAAAGGGAGGGAAAUAAAAUAAAGAGAAUCAGGGUAAAAACCGUUUCAUUCCUUCAUCAACCUUCUCCACUCCAUGACUUAGAAUGUCUGUCCCACACUAACAGUGGCAGAAUUCAAGAGGUCUGUUUCUUGGAAGGAAUAAAACAAUUGGUUUCUGGACUGGUGACACAGAAGACAGUCGAGGGUGGGAAUACAGCACUGAAAACUGAGGGGCAUUAGGCAACCACGUGCACAAUGGAGUUGAAUGGAGCAUCUCCCCGCUCCCCCCGCCAAGUCCUCUUCUCUCCUUACCAUCUAGACAUCUAGUCAGUGAUGGGAAAAUCUGCUCCUACUGACUUGGGGCUUUUUCUUCAACAAGAUGGACAAGAAGCUCACCCUACAGAAAGGCCCAGAGGUAAUCAGUCUAUGCGUUCAAAGCUUCUAAUUUAAAGCUUCCCACUCUUAAUCAUGAGCAGACAGCUAAUUAUUAUGAGACAUCAGAGGAAAACCCUAACAUAAAACAGAUCAAAACAAACACAGAAAAGCAACUUUAGGGGAAAAGGGACUGUGCAAGGCAAAGACAGGUUGCUGAAACAAUAAAAGGAUACUAUGAAAGAAACAUUCCCCGAAUAAAACCUCCCAGAAAUUCAGAAUUUAAGAGUAGAAAAGAAAAUUUCAAGUGAGGAUAAAGGCAAAGAAUUCCUCCAGGAGGCAGAGCUAAAGGAGAAAGAGGUGAGAACCAGGAAAUUUCUUGGAGGCCCAGCACUGAGAAGCACCUGGCCAUCAAUAAGAUGACACAGGACUGAACCAUGUCCCCAGAUUAGUAGUGCUAUCCAGGAUGACACCUGUGCACCACACCCAGAGAGACAUCUGUCCAGAUUGGAACAGUGACCCAAGAGACACACUGAAGGCUGCCAUCACUACGAUCUUUGCUGCCAUUUAUCCUCUUUUUGAAUAUAAGAAUGUAGUGCCCAGGUAAGCACGGUCCUCGGCUUUUCUUGACUGAAGUGUUGAUAAAUUUCUUCUCAAAACACUCAGCAGUUUAACGAGCUCCUGAAAGCUAUAGGUGGAUCAUGGUCAAUCUGGGAGAAAUCACAGAACUCAGAACUGCUCACUUCCUCUGACCAUACUUCUGCUACCUGUCCAAGACUGGGUGCACACUGGAGCCCUGCCCAGUACAAUUUCCAGGACAAGUCCUGACUCUGCCCAGAGUUGCUUUUCUUCCAUGGAACAGACUCCUUAAACUUCAGGAAACUGAAGCAAAGAUGGUCACCUGAUGCCUGGGGAUCCCUGAGAUCAUUCCAGGAGUCUAAGAGGUACAGCUAUAUACUUACUUAAUAAAACUAAAUGACUAUUAGCCUUUUCAGUGUUGACACUGUACCAACGGUGCAAAAGCAAUAGUGAGCAAAACUGCUGGUACCUUAAUGCAAGUCAAGGCAGCAGCACAAACUGUAACAGGACUCACGGUCCUCACCAUGACAUUACUGCAGUUAAAGACAAUGCCAGUUUUGAUUUAAGAAUGUCCUGGACAAAGCUGUAAAAAUUACCAGUUUUAAUAAAUCUCUAUGCUU